rnacentral:tRNA from 1 species
GGAUUUGUAGCUCAGUUGGUAGAGAGUGUGCACUGCUCAAAAUGUAUAGGCAGCGUCCAUGCGUGGGUUCGAAUCCCACCGAGGCUA